rnacentral:rRNA from 1 species
UACAGAGGGGGGCGAGCGUUGUUCGGAAUUACUGGGCGUAAAGGGCGCGUAGGCGGCCUUCUAAGUCGAACGUGAAAUCCCCGGGCUCAACCCGGGAACUGCGUCCGAUACUGGGAGGCUUGAAUCCGGGAGAGGGAUGUGGAAUUCCAGGUGUAGCGGUGAAAUGCGCAGAUAUCGGGGAAGAACACCCGUGGCGAAGGCGGGUCUCUGGGCAGUAACUGACGCUGAGGAGCGAAAGCGUGGGGAGCGAACAGG